CGGCAUUGAAUAUUUUAAGGACAAGGGAGUACUUCUCUGUGUAAAUUUAGAUUCAGAUAAGAGAAGGCGAAAAUUCACGGUUCAAUUACAGAUGAUGUUGUGAUUGUGCUAAUCAAGGGUCAAACCUUGAGAGAGCUAUAAUUAACGGCCAGCCGCGGUGGCGGCGUCGGCGGCGGCAACCUUGCGGGCCUCGGCGAGGCGGGAGGCGAUCUCGGCGUCGGUGUGGCCCUGCUCCUCGAGGACGUCGCGGAGCUCGAGCAGGCGCACCUCCACCGCCCGCCUCCGCUCGUGCUCCGCCAUCUCCUCCUUGAUACCGCCCGCGGCGGCGGCGGGGAGAUCGCGCGGCGCACCAGCGGCGGCGGAGGGGGAGUGCUGGGGACGAGGGAGGAACUUGUUGGACUGCACGCGGCCGCUGGUGCCGGAGCCCCGCG
rnacentral:lncRNA from 1 species